rnacentral:rRNA from 1 species
GAUCCUGGCUCAGGAUGAACGCUGGCGGCGUGCUUAACACAUGCAAGUCGUGCGAAGCACUUAAGUUUGAUUCUUCGGAUGAAGACUUUUGUGACUGAGCGGCGGACGGGUGAGUAACGCGUGGGUAACCUGCCUCAUACAGGGGGGAUAACAGUUAGAAAUGGCUGCUAAUACCGCAUAAGACCACAGUACUGCAUGGUACAGUGGUAAAAACUCCGGUGGUAUGAGAUGGACCCGCG